UGGGUUGGUUUUAGAAAUCCCCGUCAAGCUGAGGGACUCGGGACAAGUGAUUGCACUUCUCUGUGUGUGUGUCUCAAGGUCUAUGAUCUGUGAGAUUAUCAGCUGUUAUCUUUUCAAAUGCUGAUUAGCUAAACCUAAACAAUAUUAUCUCUUAGGCUGUCUAGGUUUUUAUAGUUCACUCUUUCACAGGAGCAUGCUUUGGGAACAGUGACUGCAAGAUUGUGGCUGUCAGAUGGAUUCAGGGUAGAAAUUUCAUUGUAGGAAUUCCGUCUCCAGGACCGGGUUCAUCAGGAGAUGGCCCUUCCAGUGUCCCCAUGGAGAGAAAGGAGGUUGGAAGGGGGGAAGCAAGACCUGUGGCUUCGCUGUUUUUUGCAUCUUUUUCUGUGGAGUGGUCUGCUUUCUGUUUUUUUUGUUUGUUUUGUUUUUUGUUUUUUUACCCCCAAUGGCCUGUUCAGCUUGUGGAUUAGGCAUUUAUUUCUGAAGUCAGUGGGCAAUGACUCACACACACACAAAAAAAAAAACACACAAAUACAAUAGCUUGUGACUAGGAAGCAAUGAAAAUGCUAACUAAGGAAAACUUGAAAGAAAGUAAAAUGUACAUUGAGGUAAGCUUUCUUUAGGAUGUUUGGGUUUCCCAUAACAGUGUAAUUUUAAUAAUUUGUUUUCUCUGUUUUGUACUGCAGGAGAAGUCUGGUAGUGACUGCAGACACUGGAACGUUUUACCACAGAGGCAGUAACAGAUUGGCAUUGGUUAUGAAAUUAAUUACUAAUAGAGGGUGUAAGAUGUGAAUUUGUGAAUGUACUCACAUUUCCCCCCUCAGAGCAGGGAUGGAGUUAGAGCACGUCAGUGCUAGGAGUGCUUUAUUGGUUUGCUGGGAGAGAGCAUCAGCAAGUGGAAGGGGUAAAAUGCUGGAGAGGGGCAGCAGGGAAUAAAGCCACCUUCUGUACCUAAUUGGGCAAGAAGUGCACAGAACAAGGCUGCUCCUUAAUUACUGGAAUGUUGCUGACGAUGGUUUAAAUCUAGUAAGCGUCUCAGAUGAAGAAAGGACUGCAGGAAGCUGCCCAGCUGCUGGCUGUAGUCCCCACACCUUGAAGACGGAAGGUGCCGUGUGAGAUUUUUUCUUUUCGCUUAAGUUUCGUGCAGCAAGUAUUCCCCAGCUUAGGAGAAACAGGUUAGCUGUCUCAUUAGCAGCCAACUGGCUGCUCACUCUGCAGUUUUGCUGAUAAAACUGCAAAGGGAUUUGUGCCAGCAUAGCUCUGUGUGCCAGGGAUCACACUGCAGAGCCACACUGGCUGAGGCCUGCGUAGAUGUGGCCGGGGGGAUCGCUCGUCCGCUUUGUCCGGUUUAUCUCGCGGCCGGGAGACCGCAUCGUCCCUCGCUGCGGAGUGUGGGCAGCCAGUUACAGCCUGACUUUGUUACCGUGCAGGGAGAGGUUUGACUUCUAAACCCCUGUGAAUGGGAAGGAAGUGGAAGCAACCCAUCUGCAAGCCCGGAGGGAUGCAGCGAGGUCAGGAGGUGAAGCAGAGCUGACUUGUGUCCCCAGGACCUGGGCACGGCGGUCUCGGGGGAGAGCGUGGCCUGAACAGCUUCCUGAAGAAACGAGACCUAGGUGAUCAUGUUGCUGAUCACGUUGCUGUGGUUUUUGUCUCCCAAGCUGUUACCACAACUUUUAAACGUGGUGGUUGACUUCAUCUGGGUUUUGUAGCGGAGCAGAGGUCUCAAGGUGCUGGGAGGAGUUUCAAGAAAAUGGAUAACUUGGUGGGGGAGAGUGACACCAUGAAGGUCCUUAUUAAGGAAGAGGCUGUAGUGUGAGCUUACUUGUUAUUACACAAAAAAGAAACUGUGCACAUGGACACAAAAGGACCAAGAUUUGCUUCAUCCGUCUUGCAAGGACACUCUGAGGCUUUAAACGUGUAGAAGGGAGGACAGCGUGUCUUGCAGUGCAGGUUCCCAGAGGUGGUUCAUAUUUCUUGUUAUUCUCAGGCACUUGCCUACUACUGUGGCUUAAAAAGUGUUUGUAAAAGUGAGCCAUGAAUGUAGAUUGUUAAAGAUGAAUUUGCAUGUUCCUCCUUCAGUGAAAUUCCUCUUGACAGAGACCACAUCUCCAAGUCUGUGUUAAAACAAAGCAGCUCAGUAGACAGAUGUUUUCCACUUUCCUCUGUAAAAUUAUUUAUUGCUACAACAGUCUUACAUUUACUUAACCGUGACAUAAGAAGCAAUUUUUUUUUUAAUCACCUUUCUUUUCUGAUGCCCUCAAUCAGCCUUUCUCCCGUCAGGCUCCCUGCUGUUGCUUUUCUGCCCUUUCAGUUCAGCUCUCUGGCACAGAAGGCUGCCAGAGGUGAUAACAGAACUUAGUCCGAAGUCCGAUGCCAGAAGUAAGAAGCAGCAGCAUACAGAAGUGAUCGGGAUGUGCAUCACUGAGUCUCCGGUCCUUAUUCCCACAGCACGGUUGGUAAGCGGGAGAAAAUGAAGUGCUCUGUCACAGGAUGGAAGCUGUCCUGGUCCUAGGCUUUGUUGCCAUCUCCUGGCCCAGAAGAGGGCAGCAGCAGCGCAGGCUGCAGUCUCCGCUGACCUUAACAAAGCUUUGCUCUUCCCUUCCGUGGGGGGGCUUCAGGGCCUGCAGAAAGCUCGGGAGGAAAAGCAACGUGUGCGGGUUGCAAGGUGAAGACAAGGUGCUGUGGGCAGGGUGCUGAUGCCGUCUGUGCCCUCACACAGCCUGCUCUGGGACUGCAAGCGGGAAGGAAAAGUGGUUCCUAAGAAGCAGUCUAGAGGUAUUUAGUUUCUCAUAGCAGUAAUUUUGGACUUCAGUUACUGGUAAUCCCUGCCUUGAAGUCACUGUCUUCACUGCACCAGAAAACAGCGUGCUAGCUCGUGUUUUCUCGGGUUGCUUCACUUGCAGAGUACGUGAGGAUAAUAAACUAGCGGCGUCUUGAUGACUUGCUAGUUGACAUUCUGUCUUUAAACUUGCUGCGAGAGAAUAAAGAAUAAAAGUGGCUAUCUUUUACUGGUGAAAAAUGUGUUCCCCUACUUUGGCAUCCUAGUGUGACCUCUCCAAUCUUCCUUGCUCAGUCUUUUUUGCCUGUGGGUUGGGUUUGAGCGUAGUGCAACUCGGACAAUUUUUUGUUGAGGGCACCAUUUCUCCUUGCAGCUGAGUCCAUGCCUUCUAGACCAGCCAGACAGCUUAUUCCUGUACUAGAUGGUAUCACUAGGUGUGGAAAACACCCGUUUAGCCCCUGGCCUGCCACUGCCUGUCAUUUAGCACACGAGUGGGAGGAGGGCGUGCUUUAAGCGAACUUACUCAGCUGCAUAAUGGAGCCAGCCUAGGUUUUGCAGUGCCCCCCCUCAUCUCUAUUUGUAGAGGUCUUCCCUAGGAUCAUGUGGGUGCUGUAUCACUUUCCCUGUUUACAUCGUAGGAAAGGAUCUGCUUUGUCGUUCACGUGACUUUAAAAUGUCUGUCUCAAUUUCUCUCCCCUUUUUUUUUCCAGCUCACUCCCUGUGAAAUCAUAGCAGAAUGCAAAACUGUUGCUUAUCAAAGCUCUUCUAAAAUGAUUCAUUAAAGAAGGAGCCUUUUAGCCUUGUGAAGCAGACCUCGGUUGCUUCUUAAUAAAUGCAGUGACAAAUGGGAGUACCUUUCUCUUCUGUUUUAUGCUUUAUCUUACGUGCACACCCGUCUUUUUAAUACCUUUCAGUGAGCCUUAGUCCAGCACCUAAACAGAGCAAUUCCUGAACUCUCUCUACCUCUUUUUAUAAAACUACAGCUCAUUAUUAGCCUCUUAAAAAAA